rnacentral:lncRNA from 1 species
ACAAAUCAAAUUAUCUCAUCUAAACUAUACAUAAAGUUUCAAACAUAAAAAAGUAUCAAUCAAAUUGUACUUGAAAGUUGAAACUAAACACUUCUAUUUACAAGCAUUGGGUGACAUUAAAAGGAGGUGCUAUUUCACCCUUUGAAAUCAAAGGAACUAUCAAAUCACUACAAUGCAAACUUGGUGAUGUAGUUUCAAGUUCUAAGGACAAAUUGUAAAACCCCAAUCGCGUCUCAGUUUUAUACUCAACAACUUGUUCAGGCUCGAGUUUAAUCACACUAUGCCCUUCAAACUUUACAGGCUCAAGCGAAAUGGUAUUCAUAUUGCCGAGGACAAAGGGAUCGACGGUCGCCCAACCAAAUUCUUGUUUUUUAUAGGAAGAAAUUGCGGUGGUCAUUUUAUAAAAUUCUUUGUGAUUGUUGUUGUUGGGGUUUCUUACC